rnacentral:piRNA from 1 species
UCUUCACGAGCCUUCUGGAAAACUACCCA